rnacentral:rRNA from 1 species
AGUUGGUGGAGUGAUUUGUCUGGUUAAUUCCGUUAACGAACGAGACCUCAGCCUACUAACUAGAUGCGGUAAUCUUUGGAUUGUCGUACGCUUCUUAGAGGGACUAUCGGUUUCAAACCGAUGGAAGUUUGAGGCAAUAACAGGU